rnacentral:rRNA from 1 species
UUGAACGCUGGCGGCAUGCCUUACACAUGCAAGUCGAACGGUAACAGCUCUUCGGAGGCUGACGAGUGGCGAACGGGUGAGUAAUACAUCGGAACGUGCCCGAUCGUGGGGGAUAACGGAGCGAAAGCUUUGCUAAUACCGCAUACGAUCUACGGAUGAAAGCAGGGGACCCUCGGGCCUUGCGCGAACGGAGCGGCCGAUGGCAGAUUAGGUAGUUGGUGGGAUAAAAGCUUACCAAGCCGACGAUCUGUAGCUGGUCUGAGAGGACGACCAGCCACACUGGGACUGAGACACGGCCCAGACUCCUACGGGAGGCAGCAGUGGGGAAUUUUGGACAAUGGGCGAAAGCCUGAUCCAGCCAUGCCGCGUGCAGGAUGAAGGCCUUCGGGUUGUAAACUGCUUUUGUACGGAACGAAAAAGUCUUCUCUAAUACAGGGGGCGAAUGACGGUACCGUAAGAAUAAGCACCGGCUAACUACGU